rfam:Beta vulgaris subsp. vulgaris Bvchr4.sca003.con0145.1, whole genome shotgun sequence.
ACGACCUUACUUGAACAGGAUCUGUUCUAUAGGCUCGUACCUCUGAAUCCUUGAGUUCUAAGGAGACAGGAAACUAAGUCUGGUGGAUGAAACAUGACCGAGUGACUAGAGCGUGAUUAACAGCAACCAUUCAUCUUCGGAUCUCUGGUGCAGUAGAGGAUCGUUCUCUUGCUCCUCUGUGAGCUCGAGAUGGUCACACGGUGUUCUGACAGACU